ACCAGGCAAGACUACUGGGUAUGGUUGUGCAGAUUGUACACUGCACCAUUCGAGGGGAAGCCAUGUGACUGGCACCCCCUAAAAUAAAGUGCUGUCUUCAACGUCAGCAGCCAUAUGUGCAGCUCUGGAACAGGAACAGAUUGGGAAAGGUAGCCAGGUGCCAUGGUACUUUGAGUUUUCAGAUGCAAAUAUAAAUUUUGAGCAAGAAAUUAGGACAGAAUGGCAACCAGUUUUAGGAAAAUAAUAUAUGUAAAAACUCACCUCGAAACAGGUAAUCAAAACUUGCACAUAGUACAGUAUUGGCAAGAGAGGACUGGUACAUCCUGAUAAGCCAAGAGUUUGGAGUCACUUUUUAUUAUAUUCAUAAUCACUAUGUUCCUAAUAUCUAUGGAUUCACUCUCCUCCCUUUUUUUUUCUUUCUCCUUUUUUCUUUUUACCAUCUUCUGUCUUUUCCAGAUGUUUCAUUUGAGCUGCUCUGCUCCCCACUGGUGGCUGAGCCAGGCCUGACCAGGGCAGGAAGGGUGAUCAGUAGCCUCACACACAGCAGCUGGUAGAGUCUGAAGGUCACGCUUGGCCUUCCACCAAGUGUCCAAUGUGCUGGGGAUUAGCCUCUGAAUCACAGCCUUUCCCUUCUCCUGCCAUGUUGGCCCAGCCAUACAAGAGGCUCUCUCUGCCCAGCACACAAGUCCCUUGCUGUGACUGGCAUUCUGCUGUGAAAACCAGAUUACUUAUUAGACUUUAUCUUCAGUGAACCUUUGACUAACUUCUGCAUGGGACUGGAAUAUGAUCUGCAUACCUUUCAUUACUGGCCAAGAUUUUCAUUGUGCAUAUUGGAAAGCAUACAGACUUUGGUGUCAGAUACUCAGAGGAACAAAGUCCAGCCUUAACAAUUACUAGCUGUGUCACCUAAGACAAAUUACUCAACUUUGCUGGACUUUGCCCUUCUCAUCUAUGAAAGGGCGUAUUAAGGAAUGGCUCACAUGAAGGAUAUCAUCUAUAUGGGUUUGUAUUACUCCUCCCUUGUUUUUCUGAGGAGGUCCCAUGGAGUAGAUAUUGGUUACAGUGUUUUCAGUUGCAGGAAAUGGUGACUCAAUUCAAAGCAAUUUAAACAGAUAGGAUAUUU
rnacentral:lncRNA from 10 species